UUUUUUUUGUCAAACUUUGUUUGACCUUGUUGAACUUGGGAUAAAUCACUUGGACUUUCAAAAGUUGAUUUAAAGUGAUUUUGAAGUUUGACCUUUCUUUAAUAUUUUGAUUCAAGUUUAUUUUGAAUAUUAAAAAAUGCAAAAAAUAUUUUGUUCAUUUCUUGACUUCCAAUCUUCAUCUCAUUUCUGUUUUUGAUUGUUUGACCAUGAUCCUCAAUGUCAUUUGGUCAACACGUGUUGAUUGGUACAUUCCAUUUUAUUUAAUGCACUUUAUUCUUUC
rnacentral:lncRNA from 1 species